rnacentral:rRNA from 1 species
CGUAGGGUGCAGGCGUUAAUCGGAAUUACUGGGCGUAAAGCGUGCGCAGGCGGCUCCUUAAGUCAGAUGUGAAAGCCCCGGGCUUAACCUGGGAACUGCGUUUGAAACUGGGGAGCUAGAGUGUGGAAGAGGGGGUGGAAUUCCAGGUGUAGCAGUGAAAUGCGUAGAGAUCUGGAGGAACACCGAUGGCGAAGGCAGCCCCCUGGGCUAACACUGACGCUCAUGCACGAAAGCGUGGGGAGCAAACAGGAUUAGAUACCCUGGUAGUCCACGCCCUAAACGAUGUCAACUGGUUGUCGGGGAAGUAAUUCCUUGGUAACGAAGCUAACGCGUGAAGUUGACCGCCUGGGGAGUACGGCCGCAAGGCUU